rnacentral:rRNA from 1 species
AUUGAACGCUGGCGGAAUGCUUUACACAUGCAAGUCGAACGGCAGCACGGGGGCAACCCUGGUGGCGAGUGGCGAACGGGUGAGUAAUACAUCGGAACGUGCCCAGUCGUGGGGGAUAACGUAGCGAAAGUUACGCUAAUACCGCAUACGAUCUACGGAUGAAAGCGGGGGAGCGUACGGCCUCGCGCGAUUGGAGCGGCCGAGGUCGGAUUAGGUAGUUGGUGAGGUAAAGGCUCACCAAGCCGACGAUCUGUAGCUGGUCUGAGAGGACGACCAGCCACACUGGGACUGAGACACGGCCCAGACUCCUACGGGAGGCAGCAGUGGGGAAUUUUGGACAAUGGGCGCAAGCCUGAUCCAGCCAUUCCGCGUGCAGGACGAAGGCCUUCGGGUUGUAAACUGCUUUUGUACGGAACGAAAAGGCUCUGGUUAAUACCUGGGGCUCAUGACGGUACCGUAAGAAUAAGCACCGGCUAACUACGUGCCAGCCGCCGCCGUAA